rnacentral:rRNA from 1 species
UACGGAGGGGGCUAGCGUUGUUCGGAAUUACUGGGCGUAAAGCGCACGUAGGCGGCUUGUUACGUCGACUGUGAAAACCCGCGGCUCAACCGUGUGGCUUGCAGUCGAUACGGGCAGGCUAGAGUUCGGUAGGGGAGACUGGAAUUCCUGGUGUAGCGGUGAAAUGCGCAGAUAUCAGGAGGAACACCGGUGGCGAAGGCGGGUCUCUGGGCCGAUACUGACGCUGAGGAGCGAAAGCGUGGGGAGCGAACAGG